GCCCUAAAUCUAAUUUCUCCUCCCUGAGACCCUGAGUCCCUGACCCGAGAAGGCAAGAACUACUUGCAUUGAAACGGUGAAACUGUGAAAAGAAUCAAAGGAUCUGCGUUCUACUUCUGUGUUCUACCUGCGAAAUCUUUGGCUGCUUCUCCUCCCUCACGUGAAAUCAGAGGAGUAAACAAGCUAAAGAACUCAUUGAAAGCAUUAUAUGUCUAUUCCUAGAUUACCAGUUUCAAGGUUUAUUAGUGCUUUUGAAUGAUUGCAUGCAAGCCAUUGUCAAUUACUUCACAGACCAGGAAUGGCAUUCAAGUUGUGAGAACAUAGCAAAAUUCGUUGCUUCCAGGUUGUUAUUACUUUUGGUGUCAAUAAUAGUAAUUCAGUGAUGCUAUUGUUUGGCACAAAUUUCUUUGGCACCACAAAACUUCCUUAUAUAGAUAGAUAACAUCAACCUUGUGCUACUUCAUGAAUCAAAAUACAUAGUUAUUCAUCACUUGUUUAAUUUUUGAGAGACGAAUUAAUACAGAGUAGCUCAGCUAGAAAGCCUUGGAUUGUGGCUGCUAGUGUUGGAGUUGUGGAGGCUUUAAAGGACCAAAGAGUGUGCAUGUGUAUGAUAAAUAAUGCCAUUGGUGGAUCUAGAUUGCAUUAUUUGAUUCUAAGGGAGAAUUUUGUAGCUUAAGCCUAAUCAAUUAGUGAGUCAUUCUUCUUGUUCUUCAUUUGUAUAUAUAGCUAUAUCAACAAGUGUGAUAAUGGUGGAGGAUGCAUGGUUCAUAUGAAAUCCUGCUUGCAAAAUAAUGGGGUAAAGAAAAUAAUAUCAAGAAAUUUCUUGAGAUAA